rnacentral:sRNA from 1 species
ACUGCAAAUCUGCCGUCAUCGACUUCGAAGGUGCGACUCGAGCGUAGUGAGAGAACGUUGCCGAAGGCAACGGCCCGAAGGGUGAGUCGCGAAGUCGACGAAUAAUCCUUCCAUGC